GUGCUCACUUUGACAGCAGAUAUACUAGAACUGGAACAAUACAGAGAAGAUUAGCAUGACCCUGCAUAAGGAUGACACACAAAAUACACAAGGACAAAGUGCUUUC